UGCCGUGUUCGAUGAAGUGGAUAUUUUAUUUAGUGAAGAAGGCUUUGAACAAGUGCUUCAUCAGUUGAUUACUGUCGCACCAGUGACCACACAAUAUCUUUUUGUCACUGCAACUCUUCCUCUUGAUAUAUAUAACAAGGUUGUUGAAACCUUUCCCGACUGUGAGGUGAUCAUGGGACCUAGUGUCCACCGGACAAGCGCGCGUCUUGAAGAGAUUCUUGUGGACUGCAGUGGAAAUGACAAUGAUGAAAAGAAUCCGGAAACAGCCUUUUCCAACAAGAGGACAGCA
rnacentral:rRNA from 1 species